GUGAGAUGGCUGAGUGGUCGAAAGCGCUUCUUUGCUAAAGAAGUGAACCUGAAAGGGUUCCGUGGGUUCGAAUCCCACUCUCAC
rnacentral:tRNA from 2 species